AUACUUGACUGAGAAAAAACUUGACUGGAUAAUAAAAUUCUCAAAAGUCGUAGUUUGUUAUUAUCCGAUUUGCCGAUUCUGAAGGCUUUUGAUAUCUGAUGCAAGAACAGAAGAAUCAAGUUUGUUGAAGAGGUUAGUAAUGAAAUUUAUAUUCUUUGAGAUUCUUGAAGAUGAUCUUUUGGUUUUGGAUUUGAUUUUGGAGCUUCUCGGAUAAUAAUGCUCACAGCACAGAGAAACCUUUGUCGGAACCAUUGCAACUUCAUUAAGGGUCAAAGGACAUGCGGUCAAAGCUGGCGGUACAGUGAUUUUAGUUAGUGUCGCUUCAGUGGCAACGACUUGGGUUUCA